UACGUAGGGUGCGAGCGUUGUCCGGAAUUAUUGGGCGUAAAGAGCUUGUAGGCGGUUUGUCGCGUCUGCUGUGAAAUUUCGGGGCUCAACCCCGAACUUGCAGUGGGUACGGGCAGACUAGAGUGUGGUAGGGGAGACUGGAAUUCCUGGUGUAGCGGUGAAAUGCGCAGAUAUCAGGAGGAACACCGAUGGCGAAGGCAGGUCUCUGGGCCAUAACUGACGCUGAGAAGCGAAAGCAUGGGGGAGCGAACAGG
rnacentral:rRNA from 1 species